rfam:Ovis aries breed Texel chromosome 5, whole genome shotgun sequence.
UCCCUGGUGGUCCAGUGGCCAAGACUCUGCACUCCCAAUGCAGGAGGCCCGGGUUUGAUCCCUGGUCAGGGAA